rnacentral:rRNA from 1 species
AACGAACGCUGGCGGCAGGCCUAACACAUGCAAGUCGAGCGAGGACUUCGGUCCUAGCGGCGGACGGGUGAGUAACGCGUGGGAACGUGCCCUUUGCUUCGGAAUAGCCCUGGGAAACUGGGAGUAAUACCGGAUGAGCCCUUUGGGGGAAAGAUUUAUCGGCGAAGGAUCGGCCCGCGUUGGAUUAGGUAGUUGGUGGGGUAAUGGCCUACCAAGCCGACGAUCCAUAGCUGGUUUGAGAGGAUGAUCAGCCACACUGGGACUGAGACACGGCCCAGACUCCUACGGGAGGCAGCAGUGGGGAAUCUUAGACAAUGGGGGAAACCCUGAUCUAGCCAUGCCGCGUGAGCGAUGAAGGCCUUAGGGUUGUAAAGCUCUUUCACCGGGGACGAUAAUGACGGUACCCGGAGAAGAAGCCCCGGCUAACUUCGUG